CGGCAACAGCUCAAAUUUGAAAUCUGGCUCUUUCAGGGUCCGAGUUGUAAUUUGUAGAAGAUGCUUUGGGUGUGGCUCCGGUCUAAGUUCCUUGGAACAGGACGUCACAGAGGGUGAGAAUCCCGUACGUGCCCGGUGGCCGCGCCCGUGUGAAGCUCUUUCGAC
rnacentral:rRNA from 1 species